rnacentral:lncRNA from 1 species
CGCAAAAGAGAGUCUAAGGAGCUGUCACUUAGAAGGGAAAAAGGAUGGGUGGAAUUAGAAGCUCAGCAGAUUCUGAAUCUAAUCUUGAAGCUUGCUGACCCAGAACUAAAACAUGACCUGGAGAACAGAUUGUGUUUGAUUUCAGUGACUAAUCAAAGUUGUCAGCUAUACAGAUGUGAAGCUGACUGGAGAACUAAGUGCUUGCUAUGCAACACAGAUUGCAUAUUUGGAAAACAAGUCUAUAUCUACAUGGCUGUAUGGAUUGAGAACAGAUCCUUUGUAAUCCAUUUUUCUGAAUCUUUAAAGGAAAGAGUUAUCUUUUACUUCUUGGAUGAAAACAAAGGAUAUCAGAGACUCUGCUUAAAUGUUGGGUACUGCAGGCUUCAGCCGAGAGGUGGCGUUAAGAUGCAAUGCAAUGUUGUCUUAGCAAUAAAAUAUUAUCCGUUUUAACAGUAGUAUGACUGAUGCCUAGAGGUACACAAACCAGAGAUAACUGCAAUACAUGGAGAAAAACUAUUUUUGACUGUGAAGGAAGAAGUAAUCACUCAAAAGCACAGUACUCCAGUUGCGUUUGAAGGACACUGACUCCAUUUUCAUCCAAACACUUUAGUGAUUACUGCUACAUGUCACAGCAAAUCAGAGCUUGUACAAGUGCUCCAAACAAUGCUUCAGACAUGCAGGACUAGCUGCUGAUUGGAGUGAGGCCAAAUAAACUGUAUUCAAAAAGCAGCUCUAACUUUAAAAAAAAAAGUAGAAUAUUUAAAAGGGCACUGGAGAAGGCCUCUAAGCAACCCUGAUCAGAUUUUGCAGAGGCAUGAAACCGUAUCAUCUCCUACAAGGAUAUGGAGCAAGUGACAACUCAGCACUUCAGCACAAGGUAUAUACAGACCUUGAUCUCCUUGCAGAAUUACAGUUCUUAAUAUCUAUGAAAGUUCAACUCUGCAAAGAGAAGCUGACUGGAACGAUGAAGCAUUAUAAUAAGGAAAGAGUUUUUUUUUUAAAUAUUUAGAGAUUCCUGCUCUCAUAUGCUCUAAAGCUAACUUUUGAGAACUAUAAUUUCAGAUGGUAAAACAUAAGAAUUAGAAAUUUUAGCCACUGGAAAUUUUGACUGGCAUCUAUGCUGAGAAGACGUUUCCAGCUUAACUGAACUGUGCUAGAGACAUGCAAGACUGACCUGUGAAAAAAACCAAAAACAAAAAAAAUAAACCCAACUGAAAUCUGUUUUGGAACAAAGCACUUGGCUUCUUCUAUGCCAAGAACAUCUUCUGUGUAUUUUCUUUUGAGCUUUAAGAAUGUAAUAAACAACUGAAAAAACAUCUUUGAG